GCCCAGCCUGUAAAUUCAGAAGAUCACCUGGUCGGAGAGAACAUUUCGCCCACACAAUUCACACUCUUCUCACUUCCCCUGUGCUUUAGAACCCCACAUGCUGACAUCCUAUUUGGCCCAGUAAGACAGACAAUAAUAAUGUUUCUGUAUGAAUGUAUGUACAAAAUGUGAACACUCUCCUUAAUAAAUUCCACAGGUUUUAUGGGAGCCAAACCUGAUCCUCAAGCCAUGAAAUCUUCCCCUCUGGCAAAAGGAGAGGCUUUCUUGCAUCGCUAGGUGAUGUGUGUUGUACUGAAUGCUCGUGCCUGAGUUACCAGAACAGUAUUGUGCACCUGUUGACUUCCAUUCAAGAAGGGGAUAAUGAAAGAGUAAGUACAGCUAUCUAUAUUUUCUUGGCAAUGAUUGCUUCCAUAGUAGAGCUCAGUCAACAGCACAAAUAUCUCUUCCUUGACUUCUGUAGUGUAUGUACAGCCUGUAGCAUUCCAGUGUUCUCACUGCUGGUUUUUGUUAUAUUACUGCAUCAUGCUGUAACUGGGGUGCUCAAGAGCAAGCACAUCUCUUUGACUUUUUAAUGCAACUUAGCACAGUCAUUAGUGAAAUGAGAAGGUACAAACUUAACUGGAUGUGUAGUUGUCUGAUCAGCUUCCUUGUGGGUCUAGAAUGGAACUGGGAAAUAUCUAACAUACUUCUAUCUAAUAUACUUCCUAGCUAUUGACUGCUCAGUAUUUUGUGGUCAAAUUCAUAACCCUUGCAUAGCAGGUAAAACCUAUCAAUCAAAUUUAUUCUGUUAAUUUGUAUAGAUUAGUCCAUUAAUGAACAAUAUACAGUAUUGAGCUCUGUCAGCAACUUGCACACCCACAGUACAUCAUGAACUCUUGUAGUUCUACAUAAAACUAGCACCAAGAGGAUCUUCCUUGAUGAGUGAGGAAGUGGCAUGUUCUGUCAUUAGUUUCCUCCUAACGAGAAACAAGUAUCUUCAACCACAUCGUUAGACUCCCACGCCACUGUGGAUAUCAAGAUGUUAAGCUUGGUUUAUUUUAAAGGUCAUCAUGUGAGAUCUAACACACAGCUUCUAAACUAUAAACAAAACAAAACUCCACAAAGGAAAAUAUAUAUUAUCAAGAGUGAGUGAAACUUAAUACCAGUGUCUAAAAAUAGACGCUAGCAUUACUUUUAUGGCUUAAAAGCAUUAGCAGUUAUGCACAGCGUUUGUUUUUGUUGCAAGAUGAAGUUCAGGUUUGUGUGAAGUACAGUUUUAUAAUCUAUUUUAUAGUAACACCUAAAAUAAGCGAAGCGUUAAGGGUAUAUGGAGCAACCACUAUGAAGAAUUUACUGUGUAAGAGAACAAAUGUGAAAGCUAGGGCGACAGGAUAUACAAUAUACAAAGGGUGGGAAGGUGGGGAGGAGCACGAAGCUGACUGACCCAUUUUUCAAAAGAGUAGAGGGGAAGCUGGAGUGCAUCUAGUAGGCUUUUUGUGCUCGCUGUGACACAAGGAGAUGGAUGUGGUGAAGGAGAGACUCAAAGAGUGGACUCAGGUCCUAAUCAUGACAUGGGAGAAAGACAACUUUUAUGUAUAGCAUCUUAGAGAAUGUGUUGCUGGGUGAACUGGUGCAAAGGUAAAAUAGUCAGGGAUCCAGAAGUGGGGUUACAUGAAGCCACAAAACGUCAUGAGGUAAGAUUAUUUACCAUCUCCCUGACUGCUUAAACUGAUGAUUGGUGCACAUCCUGUCUGUGGAGAGGUUCGCCAGCAUUUUGGUCUUUAGAGCUCUUACAGGAUUUUCUUAGAAGAAAACAAUUCUAUUUAUCGUUUCUACUGUCAAACUAAAGGAUGUUCACAUGAGAACUUGCUGCUUCACUUUUUAAGAUAAAGAUAAGGACACGCAGGUAGUAAAAUCACCAGUGCCAAGUGGGAGCUGUCUACAGGCUCUUCUGUUAUAGUUACCUGGCUAAGUUUAUCCUGCAUCCAAGGGAUUGGUGCAGCAAAGCACAGGCUUGAAGACCGACCUAUACCUGCAGCGCAGCACAGCACAAGCCUGUGCCUGCUCAAGUUGACUGUUAUGUGGAUCGCUAACUCCUUGAUGUACAAUAGUCUUCCAGUCAGGAUCACCCACUUCACAUAUAGUGAAAUAGUGACAUAGUUUCUUAUAUUUUAUUCCUAACAACAGAUUAUUCAAAAUGGAGAUAAGCAUUGUUUCAAGUUUUUGCUAGCUGACUGUAAAGCUUUAGAGUGAAUUACAUAUGAAAUACAAAAUGCUGGAUAAAUCAGAUGGAUUAAAGUAACUUAUUUUGGAUCUAAGUUCUCACAAACUUAAAAGCUAUUUAGGCUUGGAAUUUUGCCUCAAGCCUUUUUUCUGUUUGAAAUUUUAAAACUGUGUAUUUAAAAGGAAGGAAUUGGUAUUCAGUACUUCAUGGGGACUGCAUGAGAUUGUUUGUGAAACUUACUAUACUUCUUCUGAGAUGGAGAUGAACCAAAGGAUGCCCAAAAGGGGUACUGAAUGACCAUCAACUAAGGAAGAUGCCAUCUAUCCUUGAUUCUCAUAGGUGUACUAGAAUGACAUUGGCUGUGCUGCCAGUAUAUACUUAGGACUAAUUAUUCAUGAAACAUAUAGCACACACUUCUCAAGAGAUUUUCAAAGCUGCCAACUAAACCACUGUAGCAUUAAAUUCAAAUAAACAUGUCAAAAAUUUCUUUCUUACA
ensembl:lncRNA